rnacentral:lncRNA from 1 species
ACAAUUCAGUCCGUUGGUCCCCUUCUCAGGGUCACUGUCUCCAUCCCAUCCUGGCUCAGAAACCAUUAAGCCACAGUCCUCUGGGUGAGUUUACAUUCACAUUUUCCACCAUAAAACAUAUCAAAUUUGUCAAAAUACACCAUAACCAUCCCCUGAUAGAUGGUGGAAUGGAACAUACUCUUGUUUGCAAAUAGGGGCAUCUGCAAAAUCCAUAAUACCAACCUUGCUUCUAAGCUCUGAAACACAGCAAAGAUAGUGUUUGUUAGGUCCUCCCCACAAAAUAUAAAUUUUACAAACCAAUUCAAGAACUAAAUUUCAAAAUUUGAAGUUAUAAAUUCAGGAUAAUUUAUUAAAAUAUUAUACAAACUAUAAACCUAUAAUUCCCUUUGAAUUGUUAUUCACAUUGAGAGCAUAUAGUUUUAGGGCAAUGGACUAACUUGUUGCAUAUCUUUAUUUCUGUGUGAUUAUAUUUUCUUGAUGAGCCCAGAAAAUUAAUGUAUAUAUAAGAUGACAAAACAUACCCAGUGAGUACUAGAAUGCAUUUCACCACAUGAGGAUCUAUGAAACGAGAAUCCUUAUUAUAGUUAUCACAUGGUCUUUGCUCCGACAUCUCCUCCAUCCAAGGGCUACCUUG